GAGUCAGCCCCACCCAGCAGUGCGGGCUGUCCCUCUUCUCAGCCUAACUGCUGCUUCUUCCAUGAAACAGCAGGUGUGGGUGGUCGUGGUCAACAUGUGGACAACUGGGGCUGGCUCUGUGCCAGGCGCUGGAGCGGACGCUUCCCAAGAAUCUUUUCCUGUAAUGCUGUCCCCGGCCCUCUGCGAACUAGCUGGACAGCUGCCGGGCCAGGGCCUCCAGGCUGGACGUUUCCGCGGUCACACAGGACUGCCUCCAGAGCCAGGGCGAGACGUGGAGCGGGCAGGACGAGGGGCACCUGGAGCCAACCAGCCCUCCCCCUGCAUUUUGUGAACUGGCCCGGGCCUGGCGGCUGGUGGCAAGAAACUCUGAGAACGUGUUCAGAACCAUGGCUUGAACCCGGCUGGUAAUGGGAGGCCCGAUGUCUUGCACCGAAUCUAUGGUUCCUUUCAACAGCUGUCGGUCAAAGCAAAUGGACUCUCGGGGGACAGGGACAGACCGCUGGGAGGAUGCGACUCCCCGACUCUGCGCCUUUCCCAGCUGCCCCCACACC
ensembl:lncRNA